GACAGAGGAGCCAAGCGUUGUCCGGAUUGACUGGGCGUAAAGAGCGCGCAGGCGGUCGAUCAAGUCGAGUGUGAAAGCCCCCGGCUCAACUGGGGAGGGUCAUUCGAUACUGAUCGACUCGAAGGCAGGAGAGGGUAGUGGAAUUCCCGGUGUAGUGGUGAAAUGCGUAGAUAUCGGGAGGAACACCAGUGGCGAAGGCGACUACCUGGCCUGUUCUUGACGCUGAGGCGCGAAAGCUAGGGGAGCAAACGGG
rnacentral:rRNA from 1 species